AUUUGAUUGGUAAUAAAAUUACUUUUCUAUAAGAUUUUUUUAUUUUAUAAGUUCGUACAAUGAACAAAAUUAAAAAUUUUUAAUCCACAAAUCGAUCCGCAAAAUAAUGGAUUAGAUAUGGAUUGGGUCAAAUUCGCAUCCGAUCCGCAAACAUGUGGAUUGGAUUUGGAUUGAAUUUGCCAAUCCGUGGAUUGGAUUGAAAAUUUACAAUCCGCAAAAUCACGAAUCGGAUAUGGAUUGAUGUCCAAUCCGUAAAAUCCGAUCCGCGAACACCCCUAGACGAUAGUUUGGCAUUAACUUCAAUAUUGGAAAUCGAGCCUUUAAAACGCCAAAACACCAUUUGAUUACAUUUCGCAAAUGAAGAGCGCAAAAUUUUUUUGGCCCUAUUGGUGCUCUUUGAGCUCCUCUAUAAUCACGUAAGUGAUACCUUUGACCUCUUUAUAGUGCUAAAAAUCCAAGCAUGAUUAUAUAUCCUGAGUCCACAAUGUAAUAGUAUCUUAUUUAUAAGUAUGCAUGUAUGUUAGUUUCAUAUAAAUGAUUUUAAAAAUAAUUUCAUUGAAAAAAUAUAUUUAGUUCAUACCUUCUUUCGCAAAGGAAAUUCAAUUUUCAUUCUUAUUGCAUUUAAGAAAACUCUUGAAUCAUUGGUUGUCUCUUCUCAAUCCGUAUAGAUAAAUGUAAACAUCAUGUCAAAAAAAUAUGCACACAUAAUAUUUUGUGUGACUAUAACCUUUCUGCCUUUGUAUGAUGUUUGUUUUUGAGCAGGUGCCCAUGCUGCAAUAUGAGUUCCAUCAAUUGCACCGAUACAUCCCUAAACAAACAAAUAAAUAAAAAUUUUAAAUAUUUAUAAUGUUUGUCACUGCCACAACAAGAAAAUUAGAUAUGGCAAUGAACAUUGAGCGUUGCUAAAAGUCUUUGACAGCGUGUACUCGCACGCUGCGAAUUAAGAUGUUGUCUUAUGGUAGGCUACUUUUAGCAACAUGCAAAAGAUGUCGUUAAAAGUGUUGUGGUUGUUGUUGAAAAUGCUUUAAACAACACAAAAUUAACGUUGUAAAAUCCUUAGUAUUCAAGUUUCUUUUCCCAACAUGCAUACGAUCGUUGUGAAUUGGCUUUUUG
rnacentral:lncRNA from 1 species